UUGACACUGAUGUGUUUGAGGUAAGA
rnacentral:piRNA from 1 species